AUUGAACGCUGGCGGCAGGCCUAACACAUGCAAGUCGAGCGGAGCGGCGGACGGGUGAGUAAUGCCUAGGAAUCUGCCUGGUAGUGGGGGACAACGUCCGGAAACGGGAGCUAAUACCGCAUACUAUCAGAUGAGCCUAGGUCGGAUUAGCUAGUUGGUGGGGGAAAGGCCUACCAAGGCGACGAUCCGUAACUGGUCUGAGAGGAUGAUCUGUCACACUGGGACGGAGACACGGGCCAGACUCCGACGGGAGGCAGGAGUGGGGAAUAUUUGACAAGUGGCGAAAGGCUUAUCCAGCCAUGCCGCGUGAGUGAAGAAGGUCUUCGGAUUUGAAAACGCUUUUAGUUGGGAAGCGUUACCAACAGAAUAAGCACCGGCUAACUUCGUGCCAGCAACCGCGGUAAUAC
rnacentral:rRNA from 1 species